AUAUACGACUUUUUUAGAAAGUGUUUUUUUUCUAAACAAAACAGUGACACUUCAAGAGAUGCAAGUGACUGGAUCGGGCUGUAGGGAAACGAUUUUGCAAGAGGUGUUUAGUUAGAUAUUUUUUGUCCGUUAUCCGGUUAAACCGUUACCUAAUACCAUCUUAUUAUGUACUCAAAUCUGAUUUCGUUUACCACUAGACGAGUAGAGCAAAAAAAAAAUAGAG
rnacentral:lncRNA from 1 species